rnacentral:rRNA from 1 species
CCUACGGGGGGCUGCAGUGGGGAAUAUUGCACAAUGGGCGCAAGCCUGAUGCAGCCAUGCCGCGUGUGUGAAGAAGGCCUUCGGGUUGUAAAGCACUUUCAGCGGGGAGGAAGGCGUUAAGGUUAAUAACCUUGUCGAUUGACGUUACCCGCAGAAGAAGCACCGGCUAACUCCGUGCCAGCAGCCGCGGUAAUACGGAGGGUGCAAGCGUUAAUCGGAAUUACUGGGCGUAAAGCGCACGCAGGCGGUCUGUCAAGUCGGAUGUGAAAUCCCCGGGCUCAACCUGGGAACUGCAUUCGAAACUGGCAGGCUAGAGUCGUGUAGAGGGGGGUAGAAUUCCAGGUGUAGCGGUGAAAUGCGGAGAGAUCUGGAGGAAUACCGGGGGCGAAGGCGGCCCCCUGGACAAAGACUGACGCUCAGGUGCGAAAGCGUGGGGAGCAAACAGGAUUAGAUACCCGGGUAGUC